CUCCAUCUGUUUUAAGGUUUAAGGGUGGUGGCACAGCUAAGACCCAAGAGUCUCUUUCAAGACACUGAAUUUGAGCAGAAACCAUAAGGAUACUCAAAGGACCUGUGACUCUCAGGAAAUGCAUCAAAUGAGAGAGACAGAUGAAACAGUUUCAAGACAAUGGCAGGAAAAAAAUGCUGAAGAUUGAAACAAACCUUGGCUGGAAAUAUUUGAAGGUAUCUAGCCAGUCCACAAUGAAAGCUUCGUUGCACCCAAUGAGUCUUCUGGCAGAAAUGAUGGCGGCUGUAUUCUUUGG